GAGACAGCUUCGUAAGGUUGUAGUUUAUUAUUUUCAAGAACGGUGAUGGCCUUCUUGAAUCAAUUAGCAGAACUGACUUGACGAUUGCUCAUCCUUCAAACCGCGUCAUCAAAUUGUCAAAAUUAAGCCAUAGCUCUUCUCAUUUAGUAAUUUUAACAUUUGGAGCGGACAACAUCACUUGUCGGGAAUCUUUAACUGUUAACUCCUUAAUUUAAAAGGCCUAGUUAUAAUUAUAAUAAGAAGUACUAAUUGCUUUCCAAUAGUGGAACUAUUACUUACCAGAUAUUAUAUAUUUACUCAUUCUUAUUGUUUCUUGAAGGUGUUUGUAUGCUUAUUACCCUUCUGCGAAGCUGUCAAUAACUAGGGUCUGCCUUUUCGCGUGAUCAUUACCAGAUCAUGUCCAGAAAUUACCUGAAAUUAGCUACCCACAAUAAAUGCAUGGUAAACCGUUAUCUUAAAGUUCAAUUACCAAAUUCUCAAUACUUAGAAUUAGUUGGAACUCAAUAAUUGGUGAUUGCGUAUAUCUAUCAAAAAACCCAAAUUGUUUAUGUGAAAACACCAAUUUUCAAUAACAAAAAUAUAGCUGUCAUACUUCCCACUACAUGCGUGGAACAAAUACCGUGUACAUAUCUGCAGAAUAAAUAUUGAACGCGUCUCCCAUCUUUCAUUUAGAUAGAAGUGACAUGUUUUUUAUUGUUGUGCCUACGUGAGCCCCAACACAGUAAUCACUCGUAGAAAUUAUUGACAUCUGCUCCGACUUGAUACAUUUUUUUCAUAAUUGUGUUAUACAACUUUUACUGAAAAUUUCAUAUUCAAAACUUGCAGACAGACAUACAGUAUAUAUUUCCAACUGAAUAACACACACUCGUGCCAUAUCCACAGACAAAAAGCUUUUGCAAUUCAAAGCACUCAUUCAUUAAAGAGGAAUACAAAGUCUAAUAAAUUGUAAUUUUUUGAUUUUUUAAAUUAAUUCAAUUUAAAUUUAAAUUUCUCCGUCAUUACGUGGACCAAAUCGCAUUCUAACAAUGAGUUAAACCUCCUCAUGAAUUCCAAGUCAUACUAAUCAGCCAAAAGAAUGGGAACAAUUAGAAAAGUUUUAAACCUAAACUAGUUUUUCGCAGAUUCAAACUAGUAUAAUCUCCGCAUUUCGUUCUUUCUGUCACCUCUGCAUCCGAAUAUAAAUUGAGAGACACGAAAAGAUGCAAGAUCAAUAUCAUUCCCACUUCCACGACAUCAGUACUUCAAGUCCAGAUACAACAUUCGUCGCUAAUAUAUUUCUACAUAUUCUCAUAAUAAGCAGCAAUAGCUAUCGCAAGCAAGCAGAUCAACAUGUUCCCAAACCAUAAAAUGGCUUUAUUGCUGAUGGUGGUGGCCAUUUCUGUCGUCCUCAUCACGGCCACGCCAACGACAUCAAGGUCACAAACGAGUUUUCAGGAGUCGCGGCAGGGUCCGAUGAACUCAGCCGAAUGUUCAUGGUCAUGUCAACGCCUCAGAAGCUGUGCUGCCUACAAAUUUUUCUUCCCUUUCUUGGAAUGCAGGCCAGCCCCUCAAAGAUGUGCUUGCUAAGGCAUAUCGCACCUCGUGCAAUCCAGUGAUAUAUGUGCCAUCAAAUGUAUUAUUUAUUAAGGAAGCAAAGUCUAGAAAAAUAUUUUAUAAGUUUAUACACAUCGUUUCAUACGCAAGGUCAAAAGACAAUAAAAUCAAAGUUUACUGUGGUCGAACAAAA